rnacentral:miRNA from 1 species
GGAAAGAUGAGAGUGAGAGAUGGGAGAGAGGAGUGAUGAGAGAGAGAAGUAACAAAAGUGAAAACAAAAUUUAAAAAUUGAAAUCUAUUUGAAAUUAUUUUUCACUUUUGUUACUUCUCCCUCCCAUCCUCUUAUCUUAUCCUCACUU